AGAGUUUGAUUCUGGCUCAGGAUGAACGCUAGCGACAGGCUUAACACAUGCAAGUCGAGGGGCAGCGGGGGAGGAAGCUUGCUUUCUCCCGCCGGCGACCGGCGCACGGGUGAGUAACACGUAUGUAACCUGCCCUCUGCCGGGGGAUAAGCGGAAGAAAUUCCGUCUAAUACCGCAUAACACACAUCCGGGGCAUCCCGGGGGUGUCAAAGGAGCAAUCCGGCAGAGGAUGGACAUGCGGCGCAUUAGCCAGUCGGCGGGGUAACGGCCCACCGAGGCGACGAUGCGUAGGGGUUCUGAGAGGAAGGUCCCCCACACUGGUACUGAGACACGGACCAGACUCCUACGGGAGGCAGCAGUGAGGAAUAUUGGUCAAUGGGCGGAAGCCUGAACCAGCCAAGUCGCGUGAGGGAAGACGGUCCUAUGGAUUGUAAACCUCUUUUGCAGGGGAGCAAGGCACGGUACGUGUACCGUGAAGGAGAGUACCCUGAGAAAAAGCAUCGGCUAACUCCGUGCCAGCAGCCGCGGUAAUACGGAGGAUGCGAGCGUUAUCCGGAUUUAUUGGGUUUAAAGGGUGCGCAGGCGGACUGUUAAGUCAGCGGUAAAAUGUCGGUGCUCAACACCGGCCGGCCGUUGAAACUGGCAGCCUUGAGUGAGCGAGAAGUA
rnacentral:rRNA from 1 species